rnacentral:ncRNA from 1 species
UACAGGGGAGCUUGUGAGACAGGCUGAGAGGGAAGUCACGGUGCAUGAAGUUAACUUCCGACCCUUUGACCUGAUAUGGAUAAUACCAGCGCAGGGAGUUCUUUUA